GUGCGCGCGGCGGGAGCAGCGCGGAGGUGGGGGUGAUGGUGGCAGCGGAGUGGGAGGCGGGGAGAGCGCUGUCGCCGGCGCUCGGCUUCGGUACCCGCGGUGGCGCCUCCUGGUCUCCUCAGGGAGCCCCGCCGCGAGAGGGGCGCCGCUUCCAGCCGCUCAAGUUCGGAGAGGGUCUGGCGGUGGGAGGGGCCGCAGCCCCCGAGGGGUCUUCACGGCGGGCUCUCCGAAGGCAGCUGGCGCGUCUUGAGAGGAGAUUUACCUACGAGUAACUAUGGAGUAUUAAUUUAAAUACAAAUAUCAACGUGUUCUGUCAAUGAACCUGCAUCGCUCUGAGGAAACCUUGCCAUCUCAGUUAUACGCUGCCGUGCUUCAGGGUUUUGAAGCCAGCCUGGUGGAGAUGUUUCUGGUGGAGGUAUACAGGUACAAGCACUUCCAGUUCACAAGCAGCAUCAAAAGUACGAUCAGGACAUACCUGGCUCAUACAUGUGAAACAGAUACAGGGUCAAAUUCCAGGCUCUCCUAAAAUUGACCAAAAUGAAAAUGAAUCGUAUAGCAUGGGAGAUGAAGCUAACCAAGAAAAUAAGGAAAACGAAGAAAAUUUUGCAAGAAAUAUCUGUCUUAUUACCUGUGUAUCAGAUGCUUCAAAAUGAGUCCUCCCUGCUGUGACAUGAGCCCAAGUAGUCAGAGCAGUAACUCUCAUGCCUCUCACUUUUGCGAAGUGAACACCUCAUUUGGAGCAGCAGCACCUCCUUUGCAGCUUGAGGAGCCCUGUUCUGCACUGCCAGCUGCUCUUACAAGUUCCAGGAGUAAAGAUGAAAAAGCCCAGUCUGUGCAUCUUGGCCUCUGUUGUGUUUCCGGUAUUACAGCUUGGACCUUAGCUGGGGAGAUAAAAAACUCUAAAGCUGAAGCAAGGUGUAAAAAUUUCAAAAAUCAGAAGAAAGCUAGAUGUGACAGUAAAAGGUUAGCUCAUCCUGUGACACAUGCUUGGGCCUUAAAGCUGGGUUCUGAGAGAAGGCAGCAUUUCUGCAGUGUGUGCAGCAUAGGACUGAAGUCGAAAGAUGCUCAUAAAGUCCAUGAAAAGGGUCAUGAUACGGACCGUGGCUUUAAGUGCGUUUAUUGUCGCACGGCUGAGUGGGACUUAAUGGAGAAUCAUUUAAAAUCACAGAAGGGAUAAAAGAAACCUACCAGUGCCUCAUCAGUGAAAGUGUUCUUGUGUCACAGAGUGCCUGGAAAGUGCACAGAAACAGCCACCUGAGGAAACUUCAUCUCUUUAAACGCACAAUACGUUCAUCAUCUUCUGAAACUGAGCGGAUAAGAAAUCUUCACGUAGUUUGCCGUUAUCAGGAUGUGUUUAAAUGUCUGCACAGUGAUUUUACCAGUCCUGUGAUACUUAGACCCACUGGCUUCAGCUCCAGUAUGGCAUCCUAACAUACGUUGUGUUGGUGGUGACUUGUUGACCAUUGAACCACGCUGGAGAAGCUGGUGUACACUGAAUGGAGGGUUAGAUGAGAAGGCUUUCACGUGUGUGAGAUCUGCUCUUACACCUUCAUUGAUGCAAUCUCCCUGCAGCAGUGUUUCUGAACAUGCGCUAGUGAGAGGCCCUGCAAAUGUUGACUGUUCAUAUAGUCGCAUUCAGAAGAAGAGCUUGGACCUUCACAUAUGCUGACAUCACACUGGUGAGGUGUGGUUUUUGCUGCUAUUCUUCCUCUGAGAAACAACUUCUCCAAAAACACAUCAAGAAGUAUCACCUAGGUUCAGGAACUUUAUUAACCAGUUCCCAGCCCACCUUUACCCUCAAGUCACUUCCUGUGGAAUAUUAGGUUCUUCAUGCUUAAACUUCCACCAGAGCAUCCCAGCAAAUGCGGAAGCUGCUGGCAUUGUCAGACUUCUGUGCUGAAAGCCAGGGGUUAUCUGGAAGAAGAGAAGAAACAGUCCUUAUGCGGCAAUUAAAAGCACUUAGACUGGUCUUCCCAAAAGCCUUGUGUGUAUUUUGAUACAGGUGGAAACUCCAGUGUGCUGAGAGGAACAUGAAGAUUUGUGUUGCACAAAGGGUGGACAUGUCGAUUUUUUGUUCUGGUUACCUCUUAUUCUGCUUACUUACAAAUGAAGAGUUUGACAUUUGAAGGCAGAAUCUGUUAAAAUGUACCAAAGCUGACAGUGAACCCUACAGGUUGUUUCUGUACUACAGCUCUUAUUUUUGAUACAGCUCUCUACCUAAAUAAAUAAAUUUUAUAUAUAUAUAUUAUUUUUAAUAUUUAUAAACAUAUAUACAAGUAAAUUAUUUAAGAAAAUUUCCUGAUGCUGUUGGACUCAAUGUGGUAAAAAAAAAAAUCCUUAAAUUCCUUUGUUUUUAUUUUUUGUAACAAAAUGUGUCUAUUAUCAUAAGCUGAUCCAUUGUUGAAGUAAAAAUAUAAAUUAUUGAAAUAUGA
rnacentral:lncRNA from 1 species